CAGAAAACUUGGCUGUUUAUUCUCCCAGGUUGGUAGUAAAACUAGAAGUUAGGAAUGAGUCCAAGGGUUGGAAACGAAGUUGUGUCUAGAGGCAGGUACACUGGCAUUCUGUUCUCCAUUUUUUUCCCUUCAUCAAGGGCAGAGGAGUGGAAGGUGAGGAAGAAGGACUGAAAGGAGACUUUAGAGAAGAGCUGACAGAAGAGAUUCAUUCUAGGAUCUCUCCAUUCUCACCACACCAUGGACAAGUUCCAUGUGCAACAUUCAGUAUUGGAUGAUCUGGAUUCAGUACAGAAAGCCUGGACUUUUGAGCCUAAACAGGAUCUGAAGCAGAAGGAUGAAAAACAGAUCAACCAACAACAAGAAUCAACCAUCUUGGUUUCUCAUUUGUCAAUAAUGGGCAAUAGUCCUGCCCACAUAUCAGGGAAUGUAUAUGCCAUAAUUAAAUACUAAUGCUUCUAUCUUCUCUAGAGAAUUUGUUCCUUUAUGUGAAAAAUAUUAUUUCUUCUUAAUAAGCAAUGUAUGACAAUUGAGGAGGCAUAAAAAUUAGAGAAAAAUAAAAAGGAAAAUGUCUGUAGUUGCACAUUAUAUCAUAAGUAAUCUGCAUUUUAUUGUUUUUGUGAUACUCUAGAAAUGGAUAUGUUUUAGUAAACCUAAUUUAACUCAUUAAUCCAUCUGGAAUUUCCUUUGUAAUAUUUUAUAAAAUGUGAAUCGAGACUGAUAAAUGUUCUAAAUAGUCAAAUUUGCUAAACCUUUUAUAAACUGUUUUCCUUUAUAUUUACUUUUAUUUUCUCUUUUAUUAUAUAUUUCAUUCCUGUAUCUAUUACCUAUAUAUGAUAUCUAUAUCUACCUAAUUGGGGCUAUUUCCACUAAUGUGCCCAUAUAUUCUUGUAACAGAAUCACAUUAUCUUAAGAAUAGUGACAUAAAUAUUAUUUCCCUGAUAGGGCUACCCAUUUCCACUAUCAUAAAAUCUAUUUAUUUUAGAAAAUUGGCUUUGUAUCAUUAGUCUAUAUUUUCUGAUGAACUUUGGAAUCCAUCUUAUGCUAUUCAACAUUGCAAAGAAUGAUUGGAAUUGCAUUAAUCCCAUUUAUUUGAGAAAAACUGAGGCAUUUGCAAUAAUAGUCAAUCUAAUUGGAAACAUACUAUAAUUCCCUAUGUAUUCAAGUCUUCUCUUUAUACUAUUUAAUAAAUUAUAGUUUAUUUUUAUAUAGGUUCAACAUAACACUGGUUAAGACUUUUUUCAAGGCAGUAUAUCCUUUGGUCUCUAUUGUACAUUUCUUUAUUUUUUUUCUAAAUAUAUACCAUUGACCUAUACAAUUUUUUGGACUGACAUUAUAUUUGAGUGAGUUAUUCAAAAUAUUUAUAAAUCAUGGUAGUUAAUGGUUGAAUCUUUUAAGUUAUUCUUAAAAAAGCAUAUCAUCUGCAAACAACUUCCAUCAUUGUCCUCCUAAUUUGUUGUAUUUUUAUUUAUC
rnacentral:lncRNA from 1 species